UUGGAAGUGUGGCGGAACGUUUGUGUUCCGGGGACUGGUUACAUGGACGGACUUCCGGUGUUUCCUCAGAAGCAAUCUGGAAGGGAACCAAAUAACUCGUGUCCUCAUUGCUCCUGUCUCACCUGCUCAUUUACAGGACAUCUGAUGAGCAGCAUGGAGGAGAAGAAAGAGACCCCUGGAGCUCAGUUCCAAACCACGUCAGGAAAUACCCAACCAGGCAUCCUAACUGGUUGUGUAGCAAGCCCUGUAGAACAACCAUCUAAUCACACAGCUGAUCCAUAAUCGGAGUUAGAACGUGGAAUGGACUUCACCCAGACCUUUCAAGUGUUACUCGUCAUCAACAAUUCAAAACUAAAGUAAAAACAAUUAUAUUUGCAGAUUACUCCAGCUAACAAAUAUUGGAUAUUCCCAGUGUUAUUUAUAUAUGCAUUUACUUUUUUCUUGCCCUAACUUUUAUUUAUUUUUUUCCAGUUUUCAUUAGUUUUCUUUAUUUCUUUGUACUCCUUAAUUUCUAUACGUUUUUGACGAAAUAAAUGCCAUUGUUAUAUUGAUGCUAAUGAUGACGCACGGGAGGGCUACUCCCCAUAAGCUAUGCUUCAGCCCUCCCGCUUCUACUAAUUUUGUUCAUUUGUGUGUAUGAAUUAUACGUUUUUGUUUUUGUAUGAUUUUAGUAGAAUCAAUUAAAAAGAGUCAGGCAUCGUAGAUUGUAGCCAACUUUCCGUGAAAAACAAUAAAGAGGCCUCGAGAAAUUCAUGACAGUACCUUGUGUAUGUCCUUAGUGUGUCCACGUUGUUGCUCAAUGAGCGCAGGUUUGUGAGAAUGAUGGAUGGAAGUGGUGGUCGGCUGAAUCUCCGCCGUAUUCUGAACGCCUCCCCUCCUUCCUCGUCUCUUUUUCCUGGUGUUUCUAAGCGGCUCCCGAGGGAUUUCAUCCAAUAACAAAGAGCACAGAUGGCUUGGUGUAUUCGUAGGAGGCCGAUCACAUUGUAGCUCUAGCAUAGCCUCGCGUCUGUAGCAGCGCAGAAGCCGGGGCUCCUCGCCAUACCUGUUCGUGCUGUCACUCAGGUGUGUCUUGGAAAGUUGAAUGGUCUGCAAAAGGCAAAUGUAAUCCACAGGAUCAAAAGCAUGGUCUCUCAAAAUGACGUUUUAAAUCAGUUAAAAGACAGUGGUUAUGAAACUAGAGUUUUAUUUUCAACAUUAACAACAAUGGAGAGUGGGGCUCUGAAAUCAUAAAACAGGUAAUAGGGGGAAUAAUUGGGCAGUUCUGUGUGUGUGUGUGUGUGUGUGUGUGUGUGUGUGUGUGUGUGUGUGUGUGUGUGUGUGUGUGUGUGUGUGUGUGUGUGUGUGUGU